rnacentral:rRNA from 1 species
GCAUAUCAAUAAGCGGAGGAAAAGAAACCAACAGGGAUUGCCCUAGUAACGGCGAGUGAAGCGGCAACAGCUCAAAUUUGAAAGCUGGCCUUCGGGUCCGCAUUGUAAUUUGUAGAGGAUGCUUUGGGUGAAACGCCAGUCUAAGUUCCUUGGAACAGGACGUCAUAGAGGGUGAGAAUCCCGUAUGUGACUGGAAAUGUUAACCUAUGUAAAGCUCCUUCGACGAGUCGAGUUGUUUGGGAAUGCAGCUCUAAAUGGGAGGUAAAUUUCUUCUAAAGCUAAAUAUUGGCGAGAGACCGAUAGCGCACAAGUAGAGUGAUCGAAAGAUGAAAAGCACUUUGGAAAGAGAGUUAAAAAGCACGUGAAAUUGUUGAAAGGGAAGCGCUUGCAAUCAGACUUGUUUAAACUGUUCGGCCGGUCUUCUGACCGGUUUACUCAGUUUGGACAGGCCAGCAUCAGUUUCGGCGGCCGGAUAAAGGCUCUGGGAAUGUGGCCUUCACUUCGGUGAAGGUGUUAUAGCCCAGGGUGUAAUACGGCCAGCCGGGACUGAGGUCCGCGCUUCGGCUAGGAUGCUGGCGUAAUGGUUGUAAGCGACCCGUCUUGAAAACGGACC